UGCACGAGUUCAGACUCGUGGCGCAUAGCUCCGUAACACGUGGCCCAAACUACCCUUCGGAGCACGAUAACCUCGGGAAACUGAGGCUAAUAGUGCAUAUCACACUCACUCUGGAGUGAGGAGUGUGUCAAAUGCUCCGGCGCCGAAGGAUGUGGCUGCGGCCGAUUAGGUAGACGGUGGGGUAACGGCCCACCGUGCCGAUAAUCGGUACGGGUCAUGAGAGUGAGAACCCGGAGACGGAAUCUGAGACAAGAUUCCGGGCCCUACGGGGCGCAGCAGGCGCGAAACCUUUACACUGCACGCCAGUGCGAUAAGGGAAUCCCAAGUGCACAGGCAUAGAGCCUGUGCUUUUCUGAACCGUAGGGAGGUUCAGGAACAAGGGCUGGGCAAGACCGGUGCCAGCCGCCGCGGUAAUACCGGCAGCCCAAGUGAUGGCCGAUUUUAUUGGGCCUAAAGCGUCCGUAGCUGGCCGCGCAAGUCUAUCGGGAAAUCUAUCCGCUCAACGGAUAGACGCCCGGUGGAAACUGCGUGGCUUGGGACCGGAAGGCGCGAAGGGUACGUCCGGGGUAGGAGUGAAAUCCUGUAAUCCUGGACGGACCGCCGAUGGCGAAAGCACUUCGCGAGGACGGAUCCGACAGUGAGGGACGAAAGCUAGGGUCUCGAACCGGAUUAGAUACCCGGGUAGUCCUAGCCGUAAACGAUGCCUGUUAGGUGUGGCUCCCACUACGAGUGGGUGCUGUGCCGUAGGGAAGCCGCUAAACAGGCCGCCUGGGAAGUACGUCCGCAAGGAUGAAAUUCAA
rnacentral:rRNA from 1 species